GGAAGGGAGACAUGAGCCCCCUGAUUUUAACCUGUUUCUGUGUCUCUUUUUUUUUAGUACUGGGGAUUGAACUCGGGACCUUGUGCUUGCGAGGCAGGCAGUGGAAUCAUGUGUCUCAUUUUUCAUUUUCAUCACCGCUUGGUCAGGUUCGAGCUUGUAGGCUGGCCCCUACACCCUCAUACGUGAAGCGUGAGCCAGAGACGCUCCAGGCCCCUGCCUAGGCCCUCUUACCCGCCAUUUCUCCUUGACCACACCAUACUUUUUCACCAUGGAAGAUGAUUCAGACUUUUCCACAGACCAGUGGACAGUUUUCUCCACUGUCAGAGUCAUAAAACUAUGUGCAGGGCCUUGUAUCCCCCCAUGGCUGUGUUGAGUGGAUUGGGGAGCGAAGGGAGAGAACCUCUUCUCAAACAGUGACUGACGGCGAUGCUCCCCUCUGUUCUUCCCAGUGUUCUUUCCAUAUUCUUCCUCCUCCAGCCUUUUGGAAAAGUGGCUCUGACAUCAUCACACUAAUUCCCAACAGAGAGAGGCACGGCUCAGAGGUGAAGCAACUCAGCGAAGAUUGUGACGGUGCCAGCCAUCACUAGUCGAACAGUACCUGAGAGGAGGGGAAAGGAUGAAAGAAAAAACCUCUGAGGAAAAGAAAAAGGAGACAGAGGCGGAGGAGAGACCCCUCUUCCCACUUUAUUGCCCUUUAUAUACCUUUUCCAUAACCCCCAACCCCUCCUCAGCACAUAAUUCGGGCGACUAAUUAUUUUCCAGGGAAAAGGUCAAAUGUAUCUUUACAACUCCGGCAAUAACGUUCCCUCGCAUUACAGACAUUGGAACUCUUUCUAUUUAACCACUCUCGUUACAAGUAACCAUCCUUGUUUUUGUGCCAGCUGCAUAUCCAGGAUUCAUUAUGUUCUCAAGAGACUCGGAGGUCUCUCAAGGUUAUUUCAACCUUUCGCUCUCCACAGAAGAUCACAUAACCCGGGCAGGCGGGCGACUCUAGCGUGGCUAUGAGGGGAAAGAGACAGAUGACAGCAGCAGGCAGCAGCCGGGACAUCUCUGACCAGGCAGACUGGCUUCCUCUUUUUUUUUUUUGGUACCGGGGAUUGAACUUGGGUCCUUGCGCUUGCACAGCAGGCGGCGAAACCACCGAGCUAAAUCCCCGGCCCCCACUGGCUUCCUCUUACAUGCGGUCGAAGGGGCUGGAACCCAUGCCCAGAGUCCACUGACUGACCCACAAAUGAGCAGCUGUCUGAGAAAGGGAAUGUGAACUGAACUUGGGGCUGCAAGGUGCCAUUUUAGACACACGGCUCCUCCUAGGAAUCCUGUGAAUGCUUGCUAGCAGUGAAGACUGCAUUUAUACAGGGAAAUCCGCUCCGGGCCCGAUUCUGUCCGGCAGACUGUGUGAAUUCCGGGCCUUCAGUUACCAUGGAGAAGGGUUUUUCCCCCGCUGUGGUACUAAGGAUUGAACCGAGGGG
ensembl:lncRNA